rnacentral:sRNA from 1 species
ACGGUGAAGCACUGUGUCGGUCCAGUUUCGGUGCAGUGUGGAGUUUUAUGAGGGGUUGUGCAACAACCACAGACUGGAUAGCCGAAAGGCGAAAGAAAAUGCUAAA